AAAGGUUCUCAUCAUUGUCCUCUCGUUCAACCACUAAACUGUAGUUCAAUUCCUUACAUAUACACGAGACUAUAUUUCAUUGACUACCGCCCUUAAAAUUCCAUUGCAGGAAGCUCGUAGUAGAUUCAGUGUUGAUAUUGAACCUGAAAAUGCUGUGAAUAUCAAUCCUCUAGAUGGACUCCUUAGUCCAGAAGGAUCUACAACGCUUCACUUUAAGAGAUCCUCUCACUCUGCUUCAAUCGGAAGAAUUAAUUGCAAGGUAUGCCUCAUUAAAGUAAAUAGUCCGCUCCUUCAAUGAAAAUAAGCAAAGAAGUGUAGUUAGUAAUAUUAUACAUGUUAGGGGAGGGGGAAAUGUUAGUCGCAUGGAUUGAACCCUGAACCUCCUACAUAUAACUUUUUCGGUGUCCCUUAGCCAAACCACUGAGCUAUUGCUUCGGGGACACGAGCAAAGAAGUGUUAAUUAAUGUCAGAAAUAUCUAUAGCUGCUUUAGCCUUUGUUGAUUCUGAUAUAGGAAGUAGCCUCAGUGAAAAUAUAAACAAUAUUUUCACUCUUUGCAGAUUUACUAUUGCAAGGAAGAUGAGGUUUGUUUAUACCAAUCCUUGCUGUUUGAGGUCCCCUUCCAAGAUGGAGUUUUUAACACUGCCCAAGCAGACGUCACUCUUGCCCAUUUUGUGAAACCCAAAAGUUCGACUAGCAACGUACUGCAGCCUAUUGCCCCAUAGCACGUUGAACCAGGUCUUUUUCAGAAAAUCUUUUUUGUUCUUACCUGGUUACGAAUUAUUUGUUCUUGUAAAACUUAUGGACCAAAUAGGGUUGAUGAUGUUUUUAUGCAUUUGUUGUGAGCAAAUAAUGUAGGCCCUCACACUGCAUGCAAAGCAACUGGAUGCAACAACCUUGUUUGGUAGCUCAAGGAUGAUAUUAAGUUAAGACAGUCAAAUGCAUUUCCCAAAUUAAGCCUCGCUAACAAAUGCAUAGUAUCAGUGCAACAAGGCACAGUGCCAGUCGGGUUAUAUUAUUUCAAAAGGCUUGCUCAGCAGUCAUCAUCUCUAUUAUUUAUUGAGUAUUAAGAAUAAAUCCCAGUGACACAUUUUUGCUGGAAAUGGUCAGCUGAUUCAGAUAUUCCAUUGCAGGAAGCUCGUAGUAGAUUCAGUGUUGAUAUUGAACCUGAAAAUGCUGUGAAUAUCAAUCCUCUAGAUGGACUCCUUAGUCCAGAAGGAUCUACAACGCUUCACUUUAAGAGAUCCUCUCACUCUGCUUCAAUCGGAAGAAUUAAUUGCAAGGUAUGCCUCAUUAAAGUAAAUAGUCCGCUCCUUCAAUGAAAAUAAGCAAAGAAGUGUAGUUAGUAAUAUUAUACAUGUUAGGGGAGGGGGAAAUGUUAGUCGCAUGGAUUGAACGCUGAACCUCCUACAU
rnacentral:lncRNA from 1 species